rnacentral:misc_RNA from 1 species
GAAGAUGCACGUACGUAACACGAUCAUCCUUACGAGUUUCCUCAUAUUUGUUGCAAAUAUUAAUGCAAUACCAGUUAAACGUUUAAUUAAAUGGAACGAAUAUAAUCAGAUAGAUUUGCCAAGAAAAUGUUGCAUAGAGGAUUAUCUUUUUGACGAUGAGUUGAUGACUUGCGUUAAGGUCAUUAAGGAUGAUGAUUUUUCGGAGGAAAUGGGAACGGAAAUACGUGCUUAUGAGCUACCCUGCAAGAUGGUUGCUAUCAUAUGGAUAGAAAAUGGAGCCAACAAUUCUUGGACUUAUACGACGGAUGAUUUCCCAAACGAUUACUGUCUCGAAACUACGAUGAAUAGGACACAAGUGUUGGCCAGGUGUCCAGGAUUGUCCAAAGUGAAUGAAAACACGUCGAUCGUUUCAAUGAUGAAAACAAAAACAUAUAACGAAACGGCGAAGAUAUGUAAUGACGAGGAUAGUAUUAAAAAAUGGGAUCUCGUAUUUUGGGGUUCUCGAUCAUAUAUGGCAACGAAUGCUGCUCAUAUGAUAAUAAGUAUCAUCGUAGUGUUAAUAUAUUUGUUCAUACCAGAAUUACGUAAAGGUAACUACAACCAUUCGGUUCUUCAACACAAUAUAUCCUUAUUGGGAUUGGGUUGUAUAUUAUCCUACUUGUGUUAUUGCAAAUAUCCAUUGGCCGAUAAUCUUGUAAUCAUUCUCUGGCUUUCCUUACAAUUUUUCACCGUUGCUACGUUCUUUUGGUUAAAUGUGAUCUGUUUUGAUAUGACAUUGUGCAUCACGAGAUUCCGUUGGACCGUAGGACUCAGUGGUAACAAAGAAAAAGACAAAUACAAGAGAAUAUUAAUCUAUUCCGUUUUCGCAUGGGGUGGUGCAUUAUUACCAACAGUGGUUGCUGCAAUCUUCGAAUAUACACCAGGAAUACCAAAGAACUUUCCGAUGAAACCUAAUUACGUUAGAUAUUGUUUAGGUCCUAAUCCAAUAGUGAAUCUCUACUUUUUCGCAUUACCAUUAAUAACAUUGUUUUGCAACAACGUAUUAUUCCUUUUUACGACGUACAAAAUCGUACGAAUUCAACGUAGCACUGAGAUAGCUACGAAAAAUCAAAGUAGUGCAUUAACCAAGAAAUAUUUCUUAUUCUUAAGACUAUAUCUGUUCAUGGGUGCACCGUGGUUCUUUGGAUCACUUUUAGCGUGUCUCAACAAGUUGGUCAUUUUAAAGCUCUGUAGACUAAUUCAACCUAUACUUUGGUUGUUCAUGUUGUUAGCAAGAAAGGAUAUCAGACAUAAGAUUGCUAACAGAUUCUGUUUUUGUAUUAAAUCCAAGGAUCACAAUGGAACUACUUUAGCUGGUACGGAUUAGUUUCAUUUCAAGAUGAUCUCACCGAUAAUAUUCUGAUUAAAGAUUUUUCAACAGUCUCAAGGAAGGAAGGAAGGAAGGAAGG